rnacentral:lncRNA from 1 species
GGGAGAUGGAGCCGGGCAGCAGGGUGCAGGAGGCCGGAGGAGGACCCGGGUGACUUUCUGACCCUUUGCUUUCAGGGCAGGUGCUUGCUGUACUUUACAUAUAAUAAAUAAAUAAAUAAAUAAAUAAAUAAAUAAAUAAAUAAAUAAAUAAAAAAAACUUUAAACACUUCCAGCCUAAAGCAGGCUGUCAUAUAAGAAACGUUUGCUUUGAGGCAUUCUUUAGAUUCUUUAAAUCGGAGUUAUAGGGCCAAGAACAGUAAAAUCUGUUCUGUUUGUAUUUUCUUCUCUCUCUCUCUUUUUUUUUUUCGAGACAGGGUUUCUCUGUGUAGCCCUGGCUGUCCUGGAACUCACUUUGUAGACCAGGCUGGCCUCGAACUCAGAAAUCUGCCUGCCUCUGCCUCCCAAGUGCUGGGAUUAAAGCCGUGCGUCACCACUGCCCGGCAACUGUUUGUAUUUUCUAGUUGUGACUGAACCUGUUACCCUGGACAUGUAAUGAAAAACUCAAACACAUAAUCCGUACUUCCUGGUUAAUCAGUGUCUGUCUGUGUUCUGUGAAGCCUGUGUAAAGAAAGAAG